GCCGGGCGUGGUGGCACAUGCCUUUAAUCCCAGCAUGGGAGGCAGAGGUAGGAGGAUCGCCGUGAGUUCGAGGCCACCCUGAGACUACAUAGUGAAUUUCAGGUCAGCCUGGGCUAGAGUGAGACCCUACCUCAAAAAAACAGAAGGAGGAGGAGGAGGUGGGAGGGUCUCGCUCUACAUCAGGCUGACCUGGGAUUUGCUAUGGAGGCUCAGGGUGUCCUCGAAAUCACAGUGAUCCCCCACCUCU
rnacentral:sRNA from 1 species